ACAUGCUUACAGCAUAGCGUUAAUACACUGGAUCUCAUUAGAACUCCGCAGUUAAGUGUGCUCAGGCUAGAGUAGUACUAGGAUUGGUGAUCGCCCGGGAAGUCCUAGUGUUUUACAUGCC
rnacentral:rRNA from 1 species